rnacentral:tRNA from 1 species
AUUUAAAUAGCUUAAAUUAAAUAAAGUUUAAUAAUGAAAAUAUUAAGAUAAUUAAAUUAAUUUUUAAAUA